AUGGUAUAUGCUUUAUUUUUAUUAAAUGUUCUCUUGGUUAUAGAGUUCGUAGGCUUUUCUUUGAAACCUUCUCCUAUUUAUGGAGGCCUAGGGCUAAUUAUUAGUGGUGCUGUGGGUUGUGGUAUUGUGUUGAAUUUUGGUGGGGCUUUCGUGGGGUUAAUAGUCUUUUUGAUUUAUUUGGGUGGUAUGAUGGUUGUUUUGGGUUAUACUGCGGCAAUGGCUAUUAAGGAAUACCCUGAAACACGAGGGUCAAGUAUAGACAUUUGAGGAGGUUUAUUAUUAGGAUGAUUAAUAGAGUUGAUGUUGGUUCAGUGAAUAGUUGAGUACAAUGGGCUGGUGAUCACAAUUGAUUUUAAAGUGUAGAGAGUUGGAUAAUUUUUGAGGGUGAGGGGGUGGGGUUGUGUGAGGAUUCUGUGGGUGUGGCUGCCUUCUACAGUUAUGGGUGUUGAUUAGUGGUAGUUGCUAGUUGAUCAUUAUUUGUUAGUAUUUAUGUUGCAAUUGAAAAUACUUGGGGUAAU
rnacentral:lncRNA from 1 species